AGCGAACGUUAGCGGCGGGCUUAACACAUGCAAGUCGAACGCGAAAGGGCCUCGGCCCCGGUAGCGUGGCGUCCGGGUGAGUAACACGUAGGAAACCUUCCCUCGAGCGGGGGAUAACGUCCCGAAAGGGACGCUAAUACCGCAUAAGCUCCCAGCGACUCCGGUCGCAGAGAGAAAAGAUGGCCUCUGUAUACAAGCUAUCACUUGAGGAUGGUCCUGCGGCGCAUCAGCUAGNGGUGGGGUAACGGCCCACCAAGGCGUAGACGCGUAGCUGGUCUGAGAGGAUGAUCAGCCACACUGGCACUGAAACACGGGCCAGACUCCUACGGGAGGCAGCAGUGGGGAAUAUUGGUCAAUGGGCGCAAGCCUGAACCAGCCACGCCGCGUGAGUGAUGAAGGCCUUC
rnacentral:rRNA from 1 species